rnacentral:rRNA from 1 species
CACUGUCACUCCUACGGGGAGGCAGCAGUGGGGAAUAUUGCACAAUGGGCGCAAGCCUGAUGCAGCCAUGCCGCGUGUGUGAAGAAGGCCUUCGGGUUGUAAAGCACUUUCAGUAAGGAGGAAAGGUUAGUAGUUAAUACCUGCUAGCUGUGACGUUACUUACAGAAGAAGCACCGGCUAACUCCGUGCCAGCAGCCGCGGUAAUACGGAGGGUGCGAGCGUUAAUCGGAAUUACUGGGCGUAAAGCGUACGCAGGCGGUUUGUUAAGCGAGAUGUGAAAGACCCCGGGCUCAACCUGGGAACUGCAUUUCGAACUGGCAAACUAGAGUGUGAUAGAGGGUGGUAGAAUUUCAGGUGUAGCGGUGAAAUGCGUAGAGAUCUGAAGGAAUACCGAUGGCGAAGGCAGCCACCUGGGUCAACACUGACGCUCAUGUACGAAAGCGUGGGGAGCAAACGGGAUUAGAUACCCUGGUAG